rnacentral:rRNA from 1 species
GAAGGUCCAGCCUGCCCAGUGACUAAGUUAAACGGCCGCGGUACCCUAACCGUGCAAAGGUAGCGCAAUCACUUGUUCUUUAAAUGAGGACUAGUAUGAACGGCAUCACGAGGGUUACACUGUCUCCCUAUUCCAUUCAGUGAAACUGAUCUUCCCGUGAAGAAGCGGGAAUAUAAAUAUAAGACGAGAAGACCCCAUGGAGCUUUAAACUCAGUGUCAUCUGCCACUUCAAUACCCUCUUAAUUACGCAGACCAUGAUAACUAGUUUUCGGUUGGGGUGACCGCGGAGUAAAACAAAACCUCCACAACGAAAGGAACUAACAACCUAAUCCAAGAGCAACAUCUCUAAGAAUCAACAAAUUGACUUAAUUGAUCCAAUUACUUGAUCAACGAACCAAGUUACCCUGGGGAUAACAGCGCAAUCCAUUUCAAGAGCUCAUAUCGACAAAUGGGUUUACGACCUCGAUGUUGGAUCAGGGUAUCCCAGUGGCGCAGCAGCUACUAACGGUUCGUUUGUUCAACGA